rnacentral:piRNA from 1 species
AGAGAACUGUCUUACCAUGCCUGGUUUC